rnacentral:lncRNA from 1 species
CCAGGCCAGUGGGAGCUGCAGCUUCUCCUGUCCCCAGCGUCCCCCCUGCUCCCCUCCAAACCCAAGCCAGGGAAGAAAUCAAAUAAAGGUGCUCAGCAGCUCUAGAGAAGUGGGACAGAUUAAAUCAGGUUUCAAUUCAGGCCCUGCUUUCUGUGCAGUCACAACAAGGCCAAUGAGGCAUGGGGUCCCUUUUCCAAAAACCCAAACAGAUCCCCUGCAGGCAAUUCCAGACAGGAGCAAAGCUCAGCUUGGCUUUCCUGCUCCCCGAGACUCAGAUCCUGCUGGGAAAUCCAGGAGUGUCCCACAGACCCACAGGAGUGUCCUGAAACCCACAGGAGUGUCCACAGACCCACAGGAGUGACCCACAGCCCCACAGGAGUGUCCCACAGCCCCACAGGAGUGUCCACAGCCCCACAGGAGUGUCCCACAGACCCACAGGAGUGUCCCACAGCCCCACAGGAGUGUCCCACACACCCACAGGAGUGUCCUGAAACCCACAGGAGUGACCCACAGACCCACAGGAGUGUCCCACAGACCCACAGGAGUGUCCUGAAACCCACAGGAGUGACCCACAGACCCACAGGAGUGUCCCACACACCCACAGGAGUGUCCUGA